AGAGGCUCACGCGGGAGCCUGGAGGUGGGGGGGAGGACGUCCGUCAGCGUGGGCCUCCAGACGGGAACCUCAUCCCUAGACCUUGACGCGCGAGGCGUAGCUCGGAGACACUAUUCUAUAAAGCUCCUGCUCUUGUCGAAGAGGAAGCUGAGCUCUGAGAGGAGCGAGUGGGCCAGGGAGGCCGAGAGCCCACCUUGAGGCCGCUCAGACGGUGCAUCCAUCUACGCUCUUUGGGGGCAACUUGGCUCUGCAGCUGCCUCUCAGCAGUCAGAGGGAGGCGUGUCGCCUACUCGACGGAGGCUGCGCGAACUGCGAGUCCCUGGAGGGGCGUUUCACACGCACGCCGCGUCGCCGUGGAGACGGGGGGCGGAGCCGGCGCGAGACUGUGUGCGGGGGAGGCGCGGGAAGCGCUGAGGCGGCCGGGGCCUUAGGGCGGGAGGAACCGGGGCCGCGUCUGCCGGCUCCCGCAGGGACUUCCUGAGGCGCGAGGCCCGAGUGCUCGACUAGUCAGAAGGGGAAGAUAAAAAACUUUUUGAUUCAUGAAGAAUCUGCUUACUAAGAAGUAUAUAUCAAGCCACUGGCCUAAUUUCCAUCAAAAAAGAAGGAAGCUGAGAAUGCAGAGAAAGGUGGACUCCAGGUCUUUUAGGGGUGGUGCAGUUAAGAAACCUUAUCCUCCAAAGAUAUUGGCCAACCAGAAGUCUUCUACCCUCUUGGGGAUCCGGAGUGAGAUACCUAGUGCCAGUCAUCCAGUGCAGUGUCAUGCCUCGCAUGGUUGGACCCGAAAGAACCGGUUACGAGAAUUGCGUAUCAGAUGCGUGGCCAGAAAGUUCUUAUAUUUGUGGAUUCGAAUGACUUUUGGAAGAGUAUUUCCCUCUAAAGCCAGAAACGACAGAAGAGACCCUCCUGAGUUCCCUCCAUCACAUCCACCCACUGCCAACAUCUAUCACCAUGCAACCUGCUUUCCCACCAUGAGAUUUUACUAUAAGCAAAGAAUACUACGGAAAGUCUUUGAAGAAUGGAAAGAAGAGUGGUGGGUUUUCCAGCGAGAGUGGAAACUCUGUGUUCGAGCCGACUGUCACUACAGAUAUUACUUGUACAACCUGAUGUUCCAGACUUGGAGGACCUAUGUGUAUCAGCAGCAGGAGAUGAGGAACAAGUACAUUAGAGCUGAGAAUCAUGAUGCAAAGCAAAAGAUGCGGCAGGCCUGGAAGUCCUGGCUGAUCUACGUGGUUUUUCGUAGAACCAAACUUCAGAUGCAGACCACCGCCCUGGAGUUUAGGCAGCAGAGUAUUUUAUGGCUCUGGUGGAGGCGGUGGAGGCAACAACUGGGACAGGUCUGUGUGGGCCGUGCCCUGCAUGCGUCAGCCGUGAAGCACAGGGCCCUGAGCCUCCAGCAGCAGGCUUGGUCACAGUGGUGGGAACAGCUCCUGCAUGUCCAGAGGGAAAGACAGAAGAUGGUCUCUGCAGUGAAACACCAUCAGCACUGGCAAAAGUGGAAAUCCCUGAAGGCCUGGCUCAAAUAUGUGCAGGUCCGCAGAGUGAAGAGGCAGCUGAACGAGAUGGCUGAGCGAUUCCAUCGGGUCACUGUGCUCCAGACACACUUCUGUGAUUGGCAGUGGGCCUGGGAACGGAAGGAGAGAUUGUCUGCCCAGCAGGCCCGGGUGGAGGGGCUAGCCAGGAGGAUGACUCUGCGGCGGGCCUUUACUCACUGGAAACACUAUGUGCUGCUGUGUGCCGAAGAAGCGGCCCAGUGGAAGGUGGCAGAAGAUCACAGUAGGUGCAGCUUGUUGCAUUUCUGUUUUCGAGCCCUAAAAGAAAAUGUGACCCAUGCUCAUCUCCAGCAAAUAAGAAGGAAUCUCGCUCACCAGCAACGUGACAUCACGCUACUACACAGGUUCUGGAACCUCUGGCAGUCUCGGAUUGAGCAGAGGGAAGAGAGAGAGCAGCUUCCCUCACUGUGUGCUGCCUGGGCCCACUGCAGAAUGACAUUGCUACGCAAGUGUAUCAAAUCAUGGUUACAGUAUACUCAGAAGAGGCGGUACAAGCAGCGGCUGCGGUCCAGAGCAGACAGUCACUUCCAACAGAGAGCCCUGCCUGCGGCCUUCAACACAUGGAGAAGAUUCUGGCGAUGGCACCAGCAGGAAAGUGUUCUCAAUGCAAGAGCAGCACGCUUUCACAGGGAGACGUUGGAGAAGCAAGUAUUUGCUAUUUGGUGGCAGAAGAUGUUUCAGCAUCGAGAAAACCGCUUGGCAGAGAGAAUGGCCAUCCUUCAUUCAGAGCGUCAGCUUCUGCAAAGGUCCUGGUCCAUGUGGCAUCAGCAGGCAGCAGCACGUCACCGGGAAUGGCAGCGGCAAGCAGUGGCCUGUGCCCACCACCGCCACAGACAGCUCAGGAAGGCUUUCUGCAUCUGGAGGGAGACUGCCCGAGGGCUCAGAACUGAGAAGAUGGGCCUAGUGCUGGCUGCAGAGUUCCAAGCGGCCCGGCUCCUGCACUGGGCCUGGAGCCGGUGGAGGGAGUGCCUGGCCCUGCACGCUGCUGAGCAGCGGAAGCUGAUGCGCGCCAGCCUGCACCACCAGCAGGCCUUGCUGCAUGGGACACUGCAGACCUGGGCGACUUACCAGAGCCAGGUGCGGAGCAUCCUCCAGGAGGUGGCAGCCAGGGAGAGCCAGCACAAGAGGCGGCUGCUGCGGAGUGUGUUCCGUCGCUGGAGAGAGAACACCCUGGCCCGAGUGAAUGAAGCAAAGCAAACCUCCCGAGCAAGCACUCACUAUAGGCGAACCUUGUGUUCCAAGAUCUUGGUGCAGUGGCAGGAGGCUGCAUCAGUGCAGAUAUAUUACCGACAGCAGGAGGACUGUGCCAUCAAGGAGGCCCAGAAGGUGCUGGAGAGGGGCUGUCUCAGGAUGUGGUUUCGGCGCUGGCGGGACCAAGGCCAGAGGGCGGCCCAGCAGAGAGUCCAGCUUAGGCGGGCAGCUGGGCAUCACGGCCGGCGGCUGCUGCUGCAGACCAUGGCCCGGUGGAAGGCGCACCAUCUCGGCUGUGUCAGGAAGCGGCUCCUACAGAGGCAGGGCGCCCAGCUCCUGGCCCAGACUCGCAGCCGGGCCUGCUUCCACCAAUGGAAACAACAGCUGGCAAACAGGAGGCGGGAGCAGCAGGGCACAGCACGGGCCCUGUGGUUCUGGUCCUUCUCACUACAGGCAAAGGUGUGGGCCGCGUGGCUGGGCUUUGUGCUGGAAAGGCGGAGGAAGAAGGUGCGGCUGGAGCGGGCCGGGCAGGCCUACCACCAGCAGCUCCUCCGGGAGGGUGCCACUCGCCUCUUGCGGUUCGCAGGCAGCAUGAAGGCCUUCAGGCAGCAGCUGCACGCCCAGCAGCAGGAGCAGGCGGCUCACAGUCUCCACCGUGCAGUCCAUCGCUGUGCCAUGCUCUGGAAACAGAAGGUUCUGGGCCAGGGCAAGGAGCCUCGGCCCCUACCCACCAUGCCCCGCAGGAGAGUGACAUUUGACAGUCCCCUUCCCACCUGUGUUGCUGCUGGGGCUGGGGAUGCCACCCUGGAGACCAGAAGGCCAGGAGAUCCUCAUGUGCCCUGGGGGGCUCUGGGCAGCCUGUCCCUGGCUGCCGGGGACCCCCAACUUCUAGAGCUAAAUGCUACCCGCUUGGCAAGAAAGCAGCCUCGACGUCCACAUUUCCUGCUGGAGCCUGUGCAGAGCCAGAGGCCCCAGGGGUGUGGCAGCCUCAGGGGAAAAGGGUCUGAGGCACCUCAGGAGUGUGACCGAGGCCUGGUCUGGCCAGCAGGCCCUUCCCUGAUGAGGCCUUUCCCACCAGAGGCCUGGAUGGCACUGGUCCCAAGCAGCCCUUCACCCCAGCCCAGGGCCCUGCUGGGUCGCCCUGGCCUGAAGCUGCCCCCCACAUUGAAGACAGGCCCAGAGCUGCUGCCCCCUUCAUCCUUCAUGCCGUGUGGAGUGGAAGCACCUGCCAGGGUGAGUCCUCCCGGUCACCUGGGGGUCAUUCUUUGGUUGGGCCUUCGGUGCUUUUCCUCAGGUACUCGGUGCUGCUGCCACAGCUGAACUCAUUGCUGCCAGAGCUACCCGCGCCAGAGGGCGCAGGGAAGGCACCCACGUUCACCACAUGCAGGUGCCCCCAUCCUAGAGACACGGUAUGGAAAGGCUGCCCAGGCCCCCACUUGGGAAGCUUCUAUCCUAGAGGUGGAGCCCCAGACACUGCAGACCGUGGAGGGUCCUGCGGGCCCUGGGGAAGCAUCUGGAUUUUAAGAAAAGUAGGAAAUGGUGGGGGCUGGUUUGGCCUGCUCUGCCCCCAUGGCCCAGCAGGUGCUGGGAGCCAGGAGUAGGUGGUGGCUGUGGUGCGGGCAGAUCCCAUCGUGGGAGGCAGAAUAGGCAGGACCUGCUCCGAUGGGUCUGAUAAGGGUGAGGAAGGAAUCCAGGAUGGCUCCUGGGUAUCUGGCCUGAGUAACUCCAGGAAUAAUGAGUUCUUUUACUGAAAGAGGGAAGACGGGGGGUGGGGGCUCAAGGGCUUGUUUGGGGUAAAGCCUGGAGAGUCUGUCUUGAGCCUGUCAAAUUUGAGAUCAAGUACCAAGGUUCUGAGUGUGGCCUUCAGAGAGCAAGUCAGGGCUUGAGAGCAAGAGAGUCUGCAAUGUACAUUGAAGGUUAACUCCUGGGAACCAAAGAGGUCACCUGGGAGGAAAGGGGCGGUGGCUCCCUGGGGCAGGUGACAUCCAGGUGGAGGAGUCCAGGCUGGGAUGGCACGGUGGUAUGGGAGGCCCACGUGCUCAGAGAGAAGACAGCGGCAGGGUUGGGCCAUGCCAAGAGCUGGUGCUGAGGGGAGCUGGUCAGUGUCACUGGAAGGUACUGGAGGGUUGUAGAUGUGUGGUCUGACCAGGACGAUUGCCUUUGACCACCUUUCCUCACUGAUGUGCAGGGUCACGGUUCAGAUCAGGGUCAGGGUAAAACUGCUGCUUGGAGAGGUGCUGAGCCAGGCCCUGGAGCAGGGGUGGGACUAGACUGCACAGGCCUCUGCACAGCCCACCACUCCUGGGCUCACACUUCAGGCCUCGCCAUCCCCAGCCAGUGUCCCUCAGUCCCGCCUGCUGCUUCCUGGGGACUUCAUGGGCACUGGGCGCAGCUCUGGAACCAUGGGUGUGCACCCAA